CUGACGAGUGGCGGACGGGUGAGUAAUGCUUGGGAAUCUGGCUUAUGGAGGGGGAUAACUACGGGAAACUGUAGCUAAUACCGCGUAGUGUCGAGAGACGAAAGUGCGGGACCGCAAGGCCGCAUGCCAUGAGAUGAGCCCAAGUGGGAUUAGGUAGUUGGUGAGGUAAAGGCUUACCAAGCCUGCGAUCUCUAGCUGGUCUGAGAGGAUGGCCAGCCACACUGGAACUGAGACACGGUCCAGACUCCUACGGGAGGCAGCAGUGGGGAAUAUUGCGCAAUGGGGGGAACCCUGACGCAGCCAUGCCGCGUGAAUGAAGAAGGCCUUCGGGUUGUAAAGUUCUUUCGGUAUUGAGGAAGGAGUGUAUGUUAAUAGCAUACAUUAUUGACGUUAAAUACAGAAGAAGCACCGGCUAACUCCGUGCCAGCAGCCGCGGUAAUACGGAGGGUGCGAGCGUUAAUCGGAAUAACUGGGCGUAAAGGGCACGCAGGCGGUUAUUUAAGUGAGGUGUGAAAGCCCUGGGCUUAACCUAGGAAUUGCAUUUCAGACUGGGUAACUAGAGUACUUUAGGGAGGGGUAGAAUUCCACGUGUAGCGGU
rnacentral:rRNA from 1 species